rnacentral:lncRNA from 1 species
AUAAAAAUGAAUCGCUUUUUGCCUUGGUCACGGCAUCAUGCAUGAACGGCUGGACCGAUUUCACUAAUUCUUUUUUGUUGUAUUUGUUUUUAUUAGGAAAAGGUUCUUAUGUAAGAAAAAAUUUCGAAAGUUACUUCUAUAAUAUAAAAAAGGAUCGCAAAAUGUGUUACUAAGCGCAUAACUCAACAACGCCUGAACCAAUUUGGCCAAUUCCCUUUUUUUAAUGUUCGUUGAAGUUCGAGAUGGUUUUUACGGCGAGAAAAAUUCGAAUAAUUACCGGAAAACCCCUAAAAACAGCCCUUUUCUUUUCCCAAUACAAACGUAUUAUUUUGUAUGUAUGUAUGUAAUUAUAAGUUGUUCGCUGUGGAUCUAGAAAGGUUUAAAAAUAAAACCGAGGAGGGUUGCACUCCGGGAGUCCAGGCAGAAGUGAAAACUUGAACUUUUUUGGAUGAGCAUUUUUAGGUGCGCUCGCGACAUGAGAAAUUGUGCAUGAAAAAUCAAGUUUAUCAAAGCAAUGUGGGCACUUUUUGAAUGGACAUGAAGUAUAAUAAUAUAGAAACUAUAUUCGAA